GCAAACAACAUGUGUGUAACAGAUCUUUUUCAUACAUUAACAUGACAGAGACCCUAAGGGUUCUCUUAAUGUAAAUUAUCAAAAUUCUUUAACAUUUGCAAAUUGGAGUAAAUAAACCACGGUAAAUGCAGAUAGAACCUUCUCAUUCUGAAAAGUCAUUUUCCGCUUGGAAUUAUAAGGUUCUAUCUGGCAAAUCAUUCAUUGAAGCAUUACUUGCCAAGAAAUACAAUAAAAAAUAUAUAUAUAGUUUAGUGUUGUAACAACAUGUUGAUGCUUGAGAAAGUUAAAAUUUUGCUUUCUGUAACAUUUAUUUCAUGUUUUAGGAUAAAUAUUUUUUCUUUUAAAAUUACGCAUACAAGGCUGUCCUAAUUUUUUUUUUUCCAGUGCAGCUGUUAAUUUUAUCUAAUUAUUAUGUUCAUAUUUAUAAAAUUUUAUUCUAAAGUGUUACCAAUUAUUGAAUUAUAUUUAUUGAAUUAUAUGCUCCAUGAAACAAAUUAAGUAUUUGCCCUUCAAGGCUUAAUAUUAAACGUAUAGACUUUAAAAGAAACAGACUAUGAGCAAAUGAGUUUAAU
rnacentral:lncRNA from 1 species